rnacentral:rRNA from 1 species
GGAUCAUGUGGCUUAAUUCGUCGAUAAACGAAGAACCUUACCAGGAUUUGAAAUCAAACUGAAAGUUCCGUGAAAGCGGAACCCUCUUCGGACAGUUUGGCAGGUGUUGCAUGGCCGUCGUCAGUUCGUGAUUUGAAUUGUUCCCUUAAGUGGGGUAACGAACGCAACCCUCAUUGCCUGUUAUAUGUGUCAGGCGAGACUGCCUCCGACAGGAGGAGGAAGGUGGGGAUGACGCCAGGUCAGCAUGACCCUUGAUACCGCGGUGAAUACGUUCUCAAGUCUUGUACUCACCGCCCGUCAAGCCAAGGAAGCUGGGAGUGCCCGAAGUUCCCAUUUAUUGGGGCCGAAGGUAAAUUCAGUGACAAGGGUUAAGUCGUAACAAGGUACGGCUACCGGAAGGUGGUCGUGGAUUAUUUAAA